rnacentral:lncRNA from 1 species
CAUCAAUCCACACGUCCUGUGCUAGAGUCUUGCGAUUCUUAUUUCCCCUACCCUCCUGCAACGAUUAUUCCCAUAUAUCAAGGCCAUCUGACAGAGUUAACCAUCAGAAUUAAAUAGCAGUUCCCACAGAGUUCCAUCCCCUGGAGAGGUACCUAGCUGCCGGGGCAGGCCUGAAGCCUCGGUCAGGAGGCAUUGAGUCUUUCACUCUCCACGGAGGUCUUGGACUGAGAACUUCAAGUUCCAAAGGGAUGAGGUGUCGGCUUCGCCCUUAGGAGCCUGGAGGGCUCUGACCAAGGAGAAGGGCGGAGCCCAGCCACUGGAAGGUUUGUUUCUUGCAGUGGAAGACGGUUGGCGACCCGGAUGGCUUUUGUUACCAGGGCCAGCCCAAUCCGCCCGAUUCUCGGUCCCUAUACUGCCUCCUUUUCCCAUGCGCAUCGCAAGGGAUCGGUUGAUGGGGCCCUCAGUAUGACUUCGCUAGGAAAAAUAAAGCUCGUUUCUCAGAGCCGGCGGAUGUUCAUGGGCAGCACCAUCGAGCCAGAAGCAGUAUUUGUCCUGGUAAGUCAUUUCUCAACUGCCGAAGUGUACUAGGUUCCAGUCCCGCUGGUUUCUCGAAUCUGCUAGUCCCACACGAGCACCAAUAGGUAAACCCAGCCGGCAGUUUCCGGCUAGCACUUUCGCUAUUUGAAGACAUUAGGAAGUUAUGUGGUGGCUCCGUACCCUCCUUUCUCCAUCCGAGGCCGGGGUCCUAAAGUCGGUGUCACGGUGGCAGCACCCAGCGUUUUGUUGGCUCUUUCGCCAGCAGCGCCGAGCGGGGGGUUUUCUGUCACAGCACUUGUUGCACCGAAUUUCUCGGUCGCAGAACCUCUCUUUUCCGAGGGUCGACAUUUUCUGCGUGACAACACCGUUGGUUCCGCCAAAAUGGAUGUUGUCCUUGGGAACUCCUCCGGCUGGCGUCACUCUUAGGGUCCCAGCACCGCCAUUUCGCCAAGCCGAGUUCUCUUGGUCGCGGCACAUCUUGUUCCUCGGUGCCUCCAUUUUCUCGGUGGCGGCAGCGCUCUGGUAGCCGAUCUGAGGGAUUUGGAAUCGCAGCCAGUUGCGCAGAGUCUGGGGUUCCCGGGCGACGCCGGCGCUGGGCGGGGGAGCCCGCCGCUCCUCCGAGCCAGAGGCAGAGGAGCUGCGCGGACGCCGUCUCUUCACAGCGCCGCGAGCGCCGACGCACGGGUUCCUGCUCGGCCUCCUGAACCCAGUCCCCCGGCGGCGCCGCUGGCGUCUCUAUCGCAGGCCCCUGCGGUUUCGCCCGUCGUUGGCUUCUUGGUCCUAGCAAGUUUCGAUUUCGCGGUGCCCGCUAUUUCUACCUCUUGUCCAAAUAACUAGCCAAAAUGUGAUUUCUCAGCCUAAGCAAGUCCCGAUUUAGGGCAUCGGUCUAGCCCUGGCUGCGAUUUCUUGGUCCUAGGAAGUCACUGUUUAGCUGUAGCAAGGCAGACUUAACCGUGCGAUGGUGACUUUUCUUUUUCUUUGGUUCUUUUUCUUUUCUCUUUCUUUCUUGAUACGGGGUCCGGCUCUGUCGCCCAGGCUGGAGUGC